GACGACGCUGGCGGCGUGCUUAACACAUGCAAGUCGAACGAGUGGCGAACGGGUGAGUAAUACGUGGUAACCUGCCCUCCUUUUUGGGAUAAGCCUUGGAAACGGGGUCUAAUACCGGCUAAAGGGGGAUGGGCUCGCGGCCUAUCGGCUUGUUGGUGGGGUGGUGGCCUACCAAGGCGGUGACGGGUAGCUGGUCUGAGAGGAGGACCAGCCACACUGGAACUGAGACACGGUCCAGACUCCUACGGGAGGCAGCAGUGGGGAAUAUUGCACAAUGGGCGCAAGCCUGAUGCAGCCAUGCCGCGUGUAUGAAGAAGGCCUUCGGGUUGUAAAGUACUUUCAGCGGGGAGGCGUUACCCGCAGAAGAAGCACCGGCUAACUCCGUGCCAGCAGCCGCGGUAAUAC
rnacentral:rRNA from 1 species